rnacentral:rRNA from 1 species
GACGAACGCUGGCGGCGUGCCUAAUACAUGCAAGUAGAACGCUGAAGGAGGAGCUUGCUCUUCUGGAUGAGUUGCGAACGGGUGAGUAACGCGUAGGUAACCUGCCUGGUAGCGGGGGAUAACUAUUGGAAACGAUAGCUAAUACCGCAUAACAGUAGAUGUUGCAUGACAUUUACUUAAAAGGUGCAAUUGCAUCACUACCAGAUGGACCUGCGUUGUAUUAGCUAGUUGGUGGGGUAACGGCUCACCAAGGCGACGAUACAUAGCCGACCUGAGAGGGUGAUCGGCCACACUGGGACUGAGACACGGCCCAGACUCCUACGGGAGGCAGCAGUAGGGAAUCUUCGGCAAUGGACGGAAGUCUGACCGAGCAACGCCGCGUGAGUGAAGAAGGUUUUCGGAUCGUAAAGCUCUGUUGUAAGAGAAGAACGAGUGUGAGAGUGGAAAGUUCACACUGUGACGGUAUCUUACCAGAAAGGGACGGCUAACUACGUGCCAGCAGCCGCGGUAAUACGUAGGUCCCGAGCGUUGUCCGGAUUUAUUGGGCGUAAAGCGAGCGCAGGCGGUUAGAUAAGUCUGAAGUUAAAGGCUGUGGCUUAACCAUAGUACGCUUUGGAAACUGUUUAACUUGAGUGCAAGAGGGGAGAGUGGAAUUCCAUGUGUAGCGGUGAAAUGCGUAGAUAUAUGGAGGAACACCGGUGGCGAAAGCGGCUCUCUGGCUUGUAACUGACGCUGAGGCUCGAAAGCGUGGGGAGCAAACAGGAUUAGAUACCCUGGUAGUCCACGCCGUAAACGAUGAGUGCUAGGUGUUAGACCCUUUCCGGGGUUUAGUGCCGUAGCUAACGCAUUAAGCACUCCGCCUGGGGAGUACGACCGCAAGGUUGAAACUCAAAGGAAUUGACGGGGGCCCGCACAAGCGGUGGAGCAUGCGGUUUAAUUCGAAGCAACGCGAAGAACCUUACCAGGUCUUGACAUCCCUCUGACCGCUCUAGAGAUAGAGCUUUCCUUCGGGACAGAGGUGACAGGUGGUGCAUGGUUGUCGUCAGCUCGUGUCGUGAGAUGUUGGGUUAAGUCCCGCAACGAGCGCAACCCCUAUUGUUAGUUGCCAUCAUUGAGUUGGGCACUCUAGCGAGACUGCCGGUAAUAAACCGGAGGAAGGUGGGGAUGACGUCAAAUCAUCAUGCCCCUUAUGACCUGGGCUACACACGUGCUACAAUGGCUGGUACAACGAGUCGCAAGCCGGUGACGGCAAGCUAAUCUCUUAAAGCCAGUCUCAGUUCGGAUUGUAGGCUGCAACUCGCCUACAUGAAGUCGGAAUCGCUAGUAAUCGCGGAUCAGCACGCCGCGGUGAAUACGUUCCCGGGCCU